AAAGUCGUAACAAGGUUUCCGUAGGUGAACCUGCGGAAGGAUCAUUAUCGUAGGGCUUCGGCCCUGUCGAGAUAGCGUCCUUGCCUAUUUUUUGGAGUACCGUUCGUUUCCUCAGCAGGCUUGCCUGCUACCGGGGACCCCCACAAACCCUUUGUAAAUAAGCAAUCGUCUGAAAAACAAACAAAAAAUUAAAACUUUCAACAAUGGAUCUCUUGGUUCUG
rnacentral:misc_RNA from 1 species